rnacentral:rRNA from 1 species
UACGGAGGGGGCUAGCGUUGCUCGGAAUCACUGGGCGUAAAGCGCACGUAGGCGGCUUUUUAAGUCAGGGGUGAAAUCCUGGAGCUCAACUCCAGAACUGCCUUUGAUACUGAAGAUCUUGAGUUCGGGAGAGGUGAGUGGAACUGCGAGUGUAGAGGUGAAAUUCGUAGAUAUUCGCAAGAACACCAGUGGCGAAGGCGGCUCACUGGCCCGAUACUGACGCUGAGGCACGAAAGCGUGGGGAGCAAACAGG